CAAAUUGAUUUUAUGCUUGCAUAAAUGAUUUUUGGAUUCGGAGCGAGUGGCGAACUGGUGAGUAACACGUGGGUAACCUGCCCCGAAGCGGGGGAUAACAUUUGGAAACAAGUGCUAAUACCGCAUAAUUAGUUGGAACCGCAUGGUUCCAACUUGAAAGAUGGCUCUGCUAUCACUUUGGGAUGGACCCGCGCCGUAUUAGUUAGUUGGUGAGAUAAAAGCCCACCAAGACGAUGAUACGUAGCCGACCUGAGAGGGUAAUCGGCCACAUUGGGACUGAGACACGGCCCAGACUCCUACGGGAGGCAGCAGUAGGGAAUCUUCCACAAUGGACGAAAGUCUGAUGGAGCAACGCCGCGUGAGUGAUGAAGGUUUUCGGAUCGUAAAACUCUGUUGUUAAAGAAGAACAAGUGUUAGAGUAACUGUUAACACUUUGACGGUAUUUAACCAGAAAGCCACGGCUAACUACGUGCCAGCAGCCGCGGUAAUACGUAGGUGGCAAGCGUUGUCCGGAUUUAUUGGGCGUAAAGCGAGCGCAGGCGGUUUUGUAAGUCUGCUGUGAAAGCCCUCAGCUCAACUGAGGAAGUGCAGUGGAAACUACAAAACUUGAGUACAGAAGAGGAAAGUGGAACUCCAUGUGUAGCGGUGAAAUGCGUAGAUAUAUGGAAGAACACCAGUGGCGAAGGCGGCUUUCUGGUCUGUUACUGACGCUGAGGCUCGAAAGCAUGGGUAGCGAACAGGAUUAGAUACCCUGGUAGUCCAUGCCGUAAACGAUGAAUACUAGGUGUUGGAGGGUUUCCGCCCUUCAGUGCCGCAGCUAACGCAUUAAGUAUUCCGCCUGGGGAGUACGACCGCAAGGUUGAAACUCAAAGGAAUUGACGGGGGCCCGCACAAGUGGUGGAGCAUGUGGUUUAAUUCGAUGCUACGCGAAGAACCUUACCAGCUCUUGACAUCUUCUGCCAACCCAAGAGAUUGGGCGUUCCCUUCGGGGACAGAAUGACAGGUGGUGCAUGGUUGUCGUCAGCUCGUGUCGUGAGAUGUUGGGUUAAGUCCCGCAACGAGCGCAACCCUUAUUAUUAGUUGCCAGCAUUUAGUUGGGCACUCUAGUGAGACUGCCGGUGAUAAACCGGAGGAAGGUGGGGACGACGUCAAAUCAUCAUGCCCCUUAUGAGCUGGGCUACACACGUGCUACAAUGGAUGGUACAACGAGUCGCGAAACCGCGAGGUCAAGCUAAUCUCUUAAAGCCAUUCUCAGUUCGGAUUGCAGGCUGCAACUCGCCUGCAUGAAGUGGAA
rnacentral:rRNA from 2 species